rnacentral:rRNA from 1 species
UACGAAGGGGGCUAGCGUUGCUCGGAAUCACUGGGCGUAAAGGGUGCGUAGGCGGGUCUUUAAGUCAGGGGUGAAAUCCUGGAGCUCAACUCCAGAACUGCCUUUGAUACUGAAGAUCUUGAGUUCGGGAGAGGUGAGUGGAACUGCGAGUGUAGAGGUGAAAUUCGAUAGAUAUUCGCAAGAACACCAGUGGCGAAGGCGGCUCACUGGCCCGAUACUGACGCUGAGGUGCGAAAGCGUGGGGAGCAAACAGG